ensembl:lncRNA
UCUCCCUUUAAAUUUUUCAGUUUUUGGAGGCACCUCUUAAAGCUACAAAAGUCCUUCUAUAGCACCGCCUUCAAUGGGCCUCACAGAUUUGUCUAGAAUGUUUUCAUUAUCACCCAGAUCUACCUCUUACUGUCCUGCACGAUCUCCCUGGAAACCCAUGGGUUAUUUAGUAACAUCAUUUACUUCUCAGUAGUAUUUAUUGUAACCUUUGGUUUCUAAUUUAGUGGCAUUAUUUUCAGAGACAAAGUGUACUCAGUCAAGAUGCUGGCAGGAGGCAGUUGGCACUCAAACUGGGUAAUCUGAGUGUUUGACAGAGAGACCAUUAACACAGGUGUGGGCAGGAGGUCAGAGUCCCAGGGCCUGGCGGCUUCCAGCAGCCUUCAGCCUACAGGGGAGGAGGUACAGCCCUGAAGGGAGAGGACAGCACCCCACUGCCUCCCCUGAGCUGAAUGUGAAGGGGAGCUGGAGCAGGAGCUCCUUGCAGCACAGUGCACUUAGGGCUCUCCCAAACAACGGGCAAAGGAACCACAUGCACAAACAAGCGGGAGUCCGUGUCUGUGUGGGGCUGCAGCUCUGGGACCCAAGGCCUCCUUGGGUCCUAAUAUGGGGUUCAUCUCUAUGAAUGCUCUAUCUGUGCACCAAACAGUAUCUUUGCUGUGUGGUGAGGACAGUUUUGUAUAUAUUUACUAGUUCAAGAUUACUAAUUAUAUUGAUCAAGGGUUGAGGAUCUUUGCUAAGUUUUGUCAGCUUGAGCUGUUAAUUUUAUUUUAAUGAAAACCUGGGGGCAGGGCAUUUAGCUCAGUGGUUCCAGCGCCUGCCUCAAAAGCGCAAGGUCCCAAGUUCAAUCCCCGAUACCAAAAAAAAACCCCUGAAUUAUAAGCUAAAGAUGUAGCUCAGAUUUAGAGCUUUUCUAGCAUGCACAAACCCUGAUGUGAUCCCCAGCACCACACACACACUCACACGCACACUCACACGAUCUCCAGUUACAAUUGGAGGAUUGUACUUCUCCCCGGCCCUGCAGAUGUUGCUGGAUUUGAGUGUUGUAUAUUAAGAUGUCGGCCUCGUUUCCUGUCGUUCAUAUUUGCCUGGUCCCCUUGGGUCACGCCUCCGAUGUGCUGUGGAAGCGUGCUCACCUGAGAGCCACGCUCCUCACUCCCCUGUGGACCCCAAACAACCAAGUGGGGGGCUCACUUUGCACGAAGCCUGCCACAGCAGCUGUAGGGCUGUGGCUCCAAACGCAAGCCCCACUGACCACCAGCCCCAGCUGCUGCCCUUGGGAUCCCCCUUGGUAUUAAAGCAUGGCCACCUCCUCCUGGCCACUCCCAGUCAAAGGUGGGGUGCAGCAGGGUCCUCGUGCUGACCUUUCCCGCCCACUGCCAACUCCUCUGCUGGACAGUGCCAUCAGGACCUGAAACAGCCUGGCCAGGACCUCUGGGAAAGGGACCCUGGCCUGGGACCAUCCACCCCGGCCUCCUCCAGCAUCUGUCUCCAUGCGCUGCCUCCUGUCAAUCAUAGGCACAACCCCCACCUCAGCCCAUCUCAGCCUCCGCUUCUCAGAGGGCUGCUCACGCUCACCCUGGGAACGUGUCUCUCUCCAUGUCCUCAGGGGCCCAAGGCAGGACAAAGGCACAGGUCCAGGACACAGAGCGGCCUCCAGGGCUCGAGGACCCUGCUCCCCUCUGUCCCAAGGCCUCUCUUGCUCUGCACUUGCUGUGUGGGGUGUUUCUGAUUUGCUAUUUGAUGUCAUUCUUAGUAAAGAAAAAUUAAAAUUUUGACAUUG